rnacentral:rRNA from 1 species
AAAGUUGUCCAAACUUGGUCAUUUAGAGGAAGUAAAAGUCGUAACAAGGUCUCCGUAGGUGAACCUGCGGAGGGAUC